GUGAGGAAUAUUGGUCAAUGGGCGAGAGCCUGAACCAGCCAAGUCGCGUGAAGGAAGAAGGAUCUAUGGUUCGUAAACUUCUUUUGCAGGGGAAUAAAGUGCGGGACGUGUCCUGUUUUGUAUGUACCCUGAGAAUAAGGAUCGGCUAACUCCGUGCCAGCAGCCGCGGUAAUACGGAGGAUCCGAGCGUUAUCCAUUUAUUGGGUUUAAAGGGUGCGUAGGUGGUUUGAUAAGUCAGCGGUGAAAGUUUGCAGCUUAACUGUAAAAAUGCCGUUGAAACUGUCGGACUUGAGUGUAAAUGAGGUAGGCGGAAUGCGUGGUGUAGCGGUGAAAUGCAUAGAUAUCACGCAGAACUCCGAUUGCGAAGGCAGCUUACUAAGCUACAACUGACACUGAAGCACGAAAGCGUGGGGAUCAAACAGGAUUAGAAACCCUGGUAGUCC
rnacentral:rRNA from 1 species